AACGAACGCUGGCGGCAGGCUUAACACAUGCAAGUCGAACGCCCCGCAAGGGGAGUGGCAGACGGGUGAGUAACGCGUGGGAAUCUACCUGGAACUACGGAACAACAGAGGGAAACUUCUGCUAAUACCGUAUACGCCCUACGGGGGAAAGAUUUAUCGGUUUCAGAUGAGCCCGCGUAAGAUUAGCUAGUUGGUGAGGUAAUGGCUCACCAAGGCGACGAUCUUUAGCUGGUCUGAGAGGAUGAUCAGCCACACUGGGACUGAGACACGGCCCAGACUCCUACGGGAGGCAGCAGUGGGGAAUAUUGGACAAUGGGCGCAAGCCUGAUCCAGCCAUGCCGCGUGAGUGAUGAAGGCCUUAGGGUUGUAAAGCUCUUUCAGUGGGGAAGAUAAUGACGGUACCCACAGAAGAAGCCCCGGCUAACUUCGUGCCAGCCGCCGCGGUAA
rnacentral:rRNA from 1 species